UACACUCCUACGGGAGGCAGCAGUGGGGAAUAUUGCACAAUGGGCGCAAGCCUGAUGCAGCCAUGCCGCGUGUGUGAAGAAGGCCUUCGGGUUGUAAAGCACUUUCAGCGGGGAGGAAGGCAAUGCGGUUAAUAACCGUGUUGAUUGACGUUACCCGCAGAAGAAGCACCGGCUAACUCCGUGCCAGCAGCCGCGGUAAUACGGAGGGUGCAAGCGUUAAUCGGAAUUACUGGGCGUAAAGCGCACGCAGGCGGUCUGUCAAGUCGGAUGUGAAAUCCCCGGGCUCAACCUGGGAACUGCAUUCGAAACUGGCAGGCUUGAGUCUUGUAGAGGGGGGUAGAAUUCCAGGUGUAGCGGUGAAAUGCGUAGAGAUCUGGAGGAAUACCGGUGGCGAAGGCGGCCCCCUGGACAAAGACUGACGCUCAGGUGCGAAAGCGUGGGGAGCAAACAGGAUUAGAAACCCUGGUAGUCCCA
rnacentral:rRNA from 1 species